CUCAUGGCGUAGUGGUAACGCGCCCCAACUAGAGAUCGGGGAGUCGUGAGUUCGAUUCUCACUGAG
rfam:Aedes aegypti strain Liverpool supercont1.769 genomic scaffold, whole genome shotgun sequence.